ACGGCUCAGUAACACGUGGAUAACCUGCCCUUGGGACCGGGAUAACCCCGGGAAACUGGGGAUAAACCCGGAUAGGUGAUGCUGCCUGGAAUGGUUCUUCACCGAAACACCUUCGGGUGCCCAAGGAUGGGUCUGCGGCCGAUUAGGUUGUUGGUAGGGUAACGGCCUACCAAGCCGAUCAUCGGUACGGGUUGUGAGAGCAAGAGCCCGGAGAUGGAACCUGAGACAAGGUCCCAGGCCCUACGGGGCGCAGCAGGCGCGAAACCUCCGCAAUGCACGCAAGUGCGACGGGGGAACCCCAAGUGCCACUCUUAACGGGGUGGCUUUUCAGAAGUGUAAAAAGCUUCUGGAAUAAGGGCUGGGCAAGACCGGUGCCAGCCGCCGCGGUAACACCGGCAGCUCAAGUGGUAGCCGCUUUUAUUGGGCCUAAAGCGUCCGUAGCCGGUCUGAUAAGUCUCUGGUGAAAUCCCACAGCUUAACUGUGGGAAUUGCUGGAGAUACUAUCAUGACUCGAGGUCGGGAGAGGCUGGAGGUACUCCCAGGGUAGGGGUGAAAUCCUGUAAUCCUGGGAGGACCACCUGUGGCGAAGGCGUCCAGCUGGAACGAACCUGACGGUGAGGGACGAAAGCCAGGGGCGCGAACCGGAUUAGAUACCCGGGUAGUCCUGGCCGUAAACGAUGUGGACUUGGUGUUGGGAUGGCUUCGAGCUGCCCCAGUGCCGAAGGGAAGCUGUUAAGUCCACCGCCUGGGAAGUACGGCCGCAAGGCUGAAACUUAAAGGAAUUGGCGGGGGAG
rnacentral:rRNA from 1 species